rnacentral:rRNA from 1 species
UACAGAGGGUGCGAGCGUUAAUCGGAAUUACUGGGCGUAAAGCGUGCGUAGACGGCUAUCUAAGUCGGGUGUGAAAGCCCCGGGCUCAACCUGGGAACUGCAUUUGUGACUGCACAGCUUGAGUGCGGCAGAGGGGGAUGGAAUUCCGCGUGUAGCAGUGAAAUGCGUAGAUAUGCGGAGGAACACCGAUGGCGAAGGCAAUCCCCUGGGCCUGCACUGACGCUCAUGCACGAAAGCGUGGGGAGCAAACAGG